rnacentral:rRNA from 1 species
AGCGAACGCUGGCGGCAGGCUUAACACAUGCAAGUCGAGCGGGCAUCCUUGUGGUGUCAGCGGCAGACGGGUGAGUAACGCGUGGGAACGUGCCCUUCGGUUCGGAAUAACUCAGGGAAACUUGAGCUAAUACCGGAUACGUGCGAGAGCAGAAAGGUUUAUCUGCCGAAGGAUCGGCCCGCGUCUGAUUAGCUAGUUGGUGAGGUUAUGGCUCACCAAGGCGACGAUCAGUAGCUGGUCUGAGAGGAUGAUCAGCCACACUGGGACUGAGACACGGCCCAGACUCCUACGGGAGGCAGCAGUGGGGAAUAUUGGACAAUGGGGGCAACCCUGAUCCAGCCAUGCCGCGUGAGUGAUGACGGCCUUUGGGUUGUAAAGCUCUUUUCUCCGGGACGAUAAUGACGGUACCGGAGGAAUAAGCCCCGGCUAACUUCGUG